AUUGAACGCUGGCGGCAUGCUUUACACAUGCAAGUCGAACGGUAACAGGUUAAGCUGACGAGUGGCGAACGGGUGAGUAAUGCAUCGGAACGUGCCCGGUCGUGGGGGAUAACGCAGCGAAAGCUGCGCUAAUACCGCAUACGAUCUGAGGAUGAAAGCGGGGGACCGUAAGGCCUCGCGCGAUCGGAGCGGCCGAUGUCAGAUUAGGUAGUUGGUGGGGUAAAAGGCUCACCAAGCCGACGAUCUGUAGCUGGUCUGAGAGGACGACCAGCCACACUGGGACUGAGACACGGCCCAGACUCCUACGGGAGGCAGCAGUGGGGAAUUUUGGACAAUGGGGGCAACCCUGAUCCAGCCAUGCCGCGUGAGUGAAGAAGGCCUCGGUUGU
rnacentral:rRNA from 1 species